rnacentral:ncRNA from 2 species
UCACCGCAAUGGUAAUUGAGCUUAGUACAAGAGGAACCGCUCAUUCACAUAAUUGGUUAUUACGGCUGUCUGACUGGGCAGUGCCGCAAAGCUACCAUGUGCUGGAUAAUGGCUGAACGCCUCUAAGUCAGAAUCCAUGCCAGAACGCUGUAA